UACGUAGGGGGCGAGCGUUGUCCGGAGUUACUGGGCGUAAAGCGCGCGAGGCGGUCGUGUAAGUUUGCACUGACAGCUCCUGGCUUAACCGGGAGAGGCGUGUGAAAACUGCAUGACUUGAGGGCCUCAGAGGGACAUGGAAUUCCAGGUGGAGCGGUGAAAUGCGUAGAGAUCUGGAGGAACACCAAAGGCGAAGGCAGUGUCCUGGGAGGCACCUGACGCUCAGGCGCGAAAGCCAGGGGA
rnacentral:rRNA from 1 species